AACGAACGCUGGCGGCAGGCUUAACACAUGCAAGUCGAACGCCCCGCAAGGGGAGUGGCCGACGGGUGAGUAACGCGUGGGAACAUACCCUUUUCUACGGAAUAGCUCUGGGAAACUGGAAUUAAUACCGUAUACGCCCUACGGGGGAAAGAUUUAUCGGGGAAGGAUUGGCCCGCGUUGGAUUAGCUAGUUGGUGGGGUAAAGGCCUACCAAGGCGACGAUCCAUAGCUGGUCUGAGAGGAUGAUCAGCCACAUUGGGACUGAGACACGGCCCAAACUCCUACGGGAGGCAGCAGUGGGGAAUAUUGGACAAUGGGCGCAAGCCUGAUCCAGCCAUGCCGCGUGAGGGAUGAAGGCCUUAGGGUUGUAAAGCUCUUUCACCGAUGAAGAUAAUGACGGUAGUCGGAGAAGAGGCCCCGGCUAACUUCG
rnacentral:rRNA from 1 species